GGGCCCGCACAAGCGGUGGAGCAUGUGGUUUAAUUCGAUGAUACGCGAGGAACCUUACCAGGGCUUAAAUGUAAGUUGCAUAGAUCAGAGAUGGUCUUUUCUUCGGACUACUUACAAGGUGCUGCAUGGUUGUCGUCAGCUCGUGCCGUGAGGUGUCAGGUUAAGUCCUAUAACGAGCGCAACCCCUGUCGUUAGUUGCCAGCAUGUAAUGAUGGGAACUCUAACGGGACUGCCGGUGCAAACCGAGAGGAAGGUGGGGAUGACGUCAAAUCAUCACGGCCCUUACGUCCUGGGCUACACACGUGCUACAAUGGCCGGUACAGAGAGCAGCCACUACGCGAGUAGGAGCGAAUCUAUAAAACCGGUCUCAGUUCGGAUCGCAGUCUGCAACUCGACUGCGUGAAGCUGGAAUCGCUAGUAAUCG
rnacentral:rRNA from 1 species